rnacentral:rRNA from 1 species
AGUGAACGCUGGCGGCAGGCCUAAUACAUGCAAGUCGAACGGCAGCACAGCAGAGCUUGCUCUGUGGGUGGCGAGUGGCGGACGGGUGAGGAAUACAUGGGAAUCUGCCCAGUCGUGGGGGAUAACGUAUGGAAACGUACGCUAAUACCGCAUGCGCCCUACGGGGGAAAGCCGGGGACCGCAAGGCCUGGCGCGAUUGGAUGAGCCCAUGUUCGAUUAGCUAGUUGGCGGGGUAAAGGCCCACCAAGGCGACGAUCGAUAGCUGGUCUGAGAGGAUGAUCAGCCACACUGGAACUGAGACACGGUCCAGACUCCUACGGGAGGCAGCAGUAGGGAAUAUUGGACAAUGGGGGCAACCCUGAUCCAGCCAUGCCGCGUGAGUGAAGAAGGCCCACGGGUUGUAAAGCUCUUUUGUCCGGAAAGAAAAGCAAUCGGUUAAUACCCGGUUGUUCUGACGGUACCGGAAGAAUAAGCACCGGCUAACUUCGUGCCAGC